rnacentral:rRNA from 1 species
GAUGAACGCUGGCGGCGUGCCUAAUACAUGCAAGUCGAGCGAACAGACGAGGAGCUUGCUCCUCUGACGUUAGCGGCGGACGGGUGAGUAACACGUGGAUAACCUACCUAUAAGACUGGGAUAACUUCGGGAAACCGGAGCUAAUACCGGAUAAUAUAUUGAACCGCAUGGUUCAAUAGUGAAAGACGGUUUUGCUGUCACUUAUAGAUGGAUCCGCGCCGCAUUAGCUAGUUGGUAAGGUAACGGCUUACCAAGGCAACGAUGCGUAGCCGACCUGAGAGGGUAACCGGCCACACAGGAACUGAGACACGGCCCAAACUACUAGGGGAGGAAGCAGUAGGGAAUCUUCCAAAAGGGGAGAAAGCCUGACGGGGCAACCACGGGUGAGAGAUGAAGGUUUUGGGAGUGUAAAACUCUGUUAUUAGGGAAGAAAAAAUGUGUAAGUAACUUGGAACCUAUUAACGGUCACAAUUAAGAAAGCAACGGCUAACAAAGU